rnacentral:rRNA from 1 species
AUUGAACGCUGGCGGCAGGCUUAACACAUGCAAGUCGAGCGGGGAUAGGGUGCUUGCACCUGAUUCCUAGCGGCGGACGGGUGAGUAAUGCUUAGGAAUCUGCCUAUUAGUGGGGGACAACGUUUCGAAAGGGGCGCUAAUACCGCAUACGUCCUACGGGAGAAAGCAGGGGAUCUUCGGACCUUGCGCUAAUAGAUGAGCCUAAGUCGGAUUAACUAGUUGGUGGGGUAAAGGCCUACCAAGGCGACGAUCUGUAGCGGGUCUGAGAGGAUGAUCCGCCACACUGGGACUGAGACGCGGCCCAGACUCCUACGGGAGGCAGCAGUGGGGAAUAUUGGACAAUGGGGGGAACCCUGAUCCAGCCAUGCCGCGUGUGUGAAGAAGGCCUUUUGGUUGUAAAGCACUUUAAGCGAGGAGGAGGCUUACCUGGUUAAUACCCGGGAUAAGUGGACGUUACUCGCAGAAUAAGCACCGGCUAACUCUGUGCCAGCCGCCGCGGUAACAC